UCUCCAAGAUUUUCCUCCCUUGAACAAAAUCCGCUUGAUUCAUACUGAUAAAAUCUGGUGGAAAUUUCUUGAUUCUGUUGGUCAGCAUCUGAGGGAUACUUUUAUAAAUGAGGUUGCAGCAGGAAAUGGGUCUGAAUUGACUCAUCUGAGAAGGAUUCUUCACUUUAGGAACUAAGGUUAUAGAAGUGGCAUUCACCUUCCUGGUAACUUGCCUGGAUCAUAGAAUGAUUGAAUAACAGCCACUACCUCUUUCCCACCAUAUGCCAAAGUUAUCUUGAAGAAAAGAGCAGUGUAACCAUUUGGGAUUGGAGCUUUGCAUUUUUCACUAAAAAAAUAGUAAUUUUUUCUUCUUCAAUGACUUUAUUGCUGGAAGAGACUUUUCACCCUGAGAUAGAUACUGCAACGCAGUUACAAUAUUCUGAAUUCUGAUUAAUUCCUUUAUAUGGAAACCAAAAAAGCCAAUAUCUCAUGUUUACCACUUAUAUUUUUGUAAUACAGGUGCUCUGAUUAGUUGAGCUGAGUAUCUUCUCUUUGAAAACCAAAUACUAAACUUUUGUAUUGAGUUGUGGUAUGAUAGAGUUCAUGUGAUAUAGCAUGAAGAACAUGAAGCUGUAUAUGUAAAUUGUGCCGGAUUUAAUAUUAUGUGGUCAAUUCACUUCAAUUAAAGUACAACUAAUACUUGUGUUUUGUUAUUUUCCUUUUCUCCCAUUCUCUUUGACGCACUAGUGAAAGAGAAAAGAUGGGUGGUAUUCAAGGGGGAGGAGGACCCAACCUCUAUUCCAGUUGAGUGGAUAUGUUGGCUCAACGGGCAGCGGAAAAGGGCUCCAACACCGGAGG